UACGUAGGUGACCAGCGUUGUCCGGAUUUACUGGGCGUAAAGAGCGCGCAGGCGGUCGUUCAAGUCGAGUGUGAAAGCCCCCGGCUCAACUGGGGAGGGUCAUUCGAUACUGAUCGACUUGAAGGCAGGAGAGGGAAGUGGAAUUCCCGGUGUAGUGGUGAAAUGCGUAGAUAUCGGGAGGAACACCAGUGGCGAAGGCGGGUCUCUGGGCCGUAACUGGACGCUGAGACGCGAAGGCGUGGGGAGCGAACGGGGAGUUAGAUACCC
rnacentral:rRNA from 1 species